UAUUUUGUGUUGAUUUUGGUUUACUUUUAAUUUAAAAUUAAAUUUCCAUGUAAAAAUCUCCAAGUGGCAAAAUGUUAGUUAAAGACUUUUUAAAUGAUUUAAAAGAAAAUAUUGAUAAAGAUUCUAUUGAUCGCUUGUGGAUUUUAAACCGCGAAAUACUUAAUUUGGAAGAAACUCUAGGUUUGGAAUGUGAAUGGCAAGAUUUUUCUAAUCGUGUAUAUUGUGAACUCUUGGAAAAGUACAAAUUUAACAUCAGCCAAAUGAAUAUGUCGAUGUAUUGAUUCUUCAUUCUCUUCCAUAAAAAAUUUAUCCAUAAAAAUUGAUCAAGAAGCCGAUCCAGAGUUAGCUUGGGACUUUUUGAAAUAUUAUGAAAACAUAUUAAUACAACGAAAAAUUUUACUGAUUUCAGUGAAAAAUAAUUGCCCAGGUGCUCUUCAAAAAUAUAAAAAAUUGAUCGCAGAACAAAAUUCAAACGACGAUGUUGGAAAACAACUUGGAUUAAACAUUUAUCAGGAAUUUUUGCUAAAAAAUUCAGCAAUAACUUUUAAAUGAAAGUAGAACAAGUAAAAGGUAUAAAGGAAAAUGUCGAUUAAAACAUUGAUUAUUAAAUAUUAAAGAUGUAUUGAAAGGGAUGAAAUUCGAAUAUUUUUUAUUUUAUUCGAGUCUUUCCGUUUAGUGUAUUAAAACAUAAACUCCUAUAAUAUACAAAGAUGUCUGUGAUCAAAAUUACAAAAUGUGUUAUUGCCGUGAUAUGUACUUGAAAUAGAAAUUUGUUAACAACCUGAUGAAAUAAAAUUUAAUAAAAAGUCUUGUUCUAUUAAACAUUUAAUAUGUAUGUAUG